rnacentral:misc_RNA from 1 species
AAGUCGUAACAAGGUUUCCGUAGGUGAACCUGCGGAAGGAUCAUUAACACGUAUCCAACGUAAAAAACCCCCCUGUGAACAUUCAAACCUGCUCUCGUAGCCCAGUGCGAUCCAGCAAUCCCGGUAAAUCAUUGUCGAACAGUAUUGAUUCGGGACUUCUGACAAAUGAGAAGUUACAGUUACGAUUGAGCGGAGAUAGCUGCAUGGCAUCCCGAAGCAGUCAGUGUCUGAAAGUGUCAUUGAUUGUCUAAGGAUCUCGCCUCAACGAUUGCCAGAGGUCGCUCACCGACCGGCAGACAUGCAACCGGGUCCCCACGCCGUCGCGGGAAACUAGCGGCUAAAAAACCUCGAACAACUGUUAACAAUGGAUAUCUUGGUUCUC